rnacentral:rRNA from 1 species
GCUUACGGCCAUACCACGUUGAAAGCACGCCGCCCCGUCUGAUCUAGCAAGUUNUCAGAUAAAUGGCAUAUUGACAUCUAGGUUAUUUUCAGAUGCGACCUUCCAACAUAUCAACGGUGGUACAUCAUGAAAUCCUCUUAUCAUUUACACACCUUCAGCGAUUCUCUUAGAAUGAUUUCGGAAAUGCAGUCCGAGCAACGUUGGGCCUGGUUAGUACUUGGAUCGGAGACGGCUUGGGAAUCCCAGAUGUCUUGAGCU